rnacentral:rRNA from 1 species
UACGAAGGGGGCUAGCGUUGUUCGGAGUUACUGGGCGUAAAGGGUGUGUAGGCGGUUGUUUAAGUUUGGUGUGAAAUCUCCCGGCUCAACCGGGAGGGUGCGCCGAAUACUGAAUGACUAGAGUGUGGGAGAGGUGAGUGGAAUUCCUGGUGUAGCGGUGAAAUGCGUAGAUAUCAGGAGGAACACCGGUGGUGUAGACGGCUCACUGGACCAUAACUGACGCUGAGACACGAAAGCGUGGGUAGCAAACAGG